AUGGGUUUGUUGCUUGCACACUGAGACAGUCACGCACGGGCCAGUGGGGUGAGCGAAUACUGCCGCAUUUUGUCAUGCUGAGUGGACUUGAGAUCGUGGUUUGUCUUAUCCGAUAAAAGCGCAUGUUACUGAGAAGAAAGAAAAUUAUGCUGGUUUGGAAUUACAUAAGGCCGAACUUGGCCUGAAAACCUUGAAAACCUGGCAACACUGAGUCUGGUAUGUGUACAGCACUCUGCACAUGCGUCAAGCGCAAGAAGCAAGCUUCUAUCAUGAAUGUGCCAAGGAGACUGGGGAUGUCAAGAUGUAUAGUGAAAAAGGACUUUCACUUUGGUCUGUUUCUCACCCAAAGAGAUCAAAUCGCUUAAGAAGACAUGGAUUAAACCACGUUUAAUGCCUGGUGCUUGUUGACAAGCACACUCACCAAUGCCUGCACGCAGAUGGCAUCAUCUGAAAAUAAAGAUCAAAGACUACUGAAAUCCCAUUCGUUCCACUCCGAAUGGGAUCUACAUGCUUUUACACAGAGAGAGAGGGAGAGAUUUGGUUAUGUGCCGAAAGAGAAAAACGGAAUUCUGGAUCAGCGAGUCCCAGAUGGUAGCGGCAGAUAUUUGCACUACCACCCCUGAAAAAGAGGGCA